AGUGGCAAUGAGCUCCUUUCAAGGAUGUACCCGAGGAAUACCGGGUUCAAUUCUCAGUGGAAACAACGUUUGGCCAAUGUGCAUGCCUCUACGUACAAGCCGAAUUAGUCGCCCACCGUUGGUGGGUCGGAAACGGUGCGAAAGCCAAGUUUUUCCUCUUUUCCUUUUUCGGUAUGAAAUUCCUAUUCCUAUUUCAGACUUCAUCGAUCGUAUUUUUAAUUUUAAGUGUAUGUGAUGUUGAUUGCAGGUGAAGUGUACAUGUUAUUAUUUUCUAUGAUAUCAAAUAUGGACUGUUAAAUUCAAGAGAUCGUGCGGUUCAAAAUAUUCAAUUGAGAAAUUAAAAAUUUGUGACAUAAGAAAUUUUUCGUGAUUUGCUUUCUUCCCUUGACAUCCCUUUUCGAUCGAGUAAACCCAGAGUAUGUCAUCAAGGAAGACAAAAUCAAAUAAAUUUGAACAAUAGUCAAGGCAUUAAGUUCCACUUAUCAAUCACAAACUAAUUGUCACCCAAACGUUGUUUAAUUUGUGGAACCUAAUUUACGACUGAGGCACUCAAGUUUUUUUUUUCCUUCACAAAAGCAAUCAGUUUUUGAAAAAUGUUUUGAUUAAUACGUCAAGAGAGAACAACACUAAUUAAUUAAAUUUCAUCUUGAAUUCUAUGUUGGGACUUUUCACUGUCCACAUGCUUUCAAAACAAAUGGGCAAUAAAGGGGACUAAUUGGCCACAUUGUGGCUUAACAUAAAUUUAAGAAUCCAUAUGAAUUAAGAAAUUGAACUAAAAUUUAUAAUUUGUUUUAGUCAAAUUGGUUUUGCGUUUUAUAUUUUCAUCGACAAUAUUGUGGUUUUUUUUUUGCCAAAUUGAUUUUAGUCCCUGCACAACUGGUGUUAGAUUUCCUUGAAAUUUUUAUAGACCUGAGGAUCAUUUUGUUCUCCAUGAAAACAAGAAAGACGAAAAGAAACCAAAACGUGACUCACAUGCCUUUCUUACUGAACAUUAUGAACUGUUGGAUCAAUUUGAUUUAAUGGUUGAGCUUUAGUGCAAGUCUUUUUGCUUACAUCUGGUGUGGAUCCUAUCUCUUUAUUAUAGCUAUAGCUAUUUGUAUUAUCGUAUUUUUAUCAUAUGCUCUAAUACGCCAAAAGUUAUGUUGAAUUUAGAUGUGGCUUGAUACUUAAACUCCUAACUAUUGUUUGUCGUGGUCCUUUUUUUUUUUUUUUUUUUUGUGUUAACCAUUUGGUUUCUAGGAAUGGAUCUAGGCAUUGCACCAAAAUUCAUAUAUGAGGGUACCCGCCUAAAUGCAUCCCAAUUCGAUGGGUUUUCCCCCCUUUGACUUGGUUUGAAUAUGAGUUUGGGUUUUCCUCGAUUUUAAAACAUGGGUAUGGGACAUAUUACAGAGAUAUUGAUCCUCACCCCGAACCCAUACCCAAACUCGCCCUCGAAUGUUAAAAAUUACUUUAUUAAUACUCUUUUUAUAUAAAUAAAAACCUAAAUCUUAAACCAUUUCACUUAGUCAGAAUGUCAGCAUGUGUCUGCACUCACUCGAGUUAUCUCUGUUCUUCUUCCACAUCUCACACCCUUAGUAUUUCUCUUCUACAGUACUACAUUUCCAUAGGGGCUGGAGAACACUUCUUUUUCUAUUAAAAAAUUGAUUCGCUUUGGGUAGGGAGAUUGGAUACUUGAACCCGUCAGAGACGGGAAUGAGAUUCAAUUUUUCAUCUCAUUAGGUAUGAGUAUGGUAACAAGUAAAUAUAAGGGAAUUAGGAACGGGAUAGGGAAGGUAAUAUCCGUCCCCACCUCGCCCCAUUUAUCAUGCCUACUGGUAAUUUGGAAUUUGGAAUUCGAUCGUGAGGUAAAUAUAGUCUAACCAAUAAUUGUUUCAUCCAAGAAUUAAACUUGGGUUCUCCUGAACAAUUCGUCAUUUGAUUGAUCUCAUUAAUCACUUGAACCCAAUUAAUUUAGUAGUUUUUUUUGACAAAAUUAAUUUAGUAGUUGUAGCUCAUCUCUGAACCUAAAUCACAUUAUUUUUUACACAAAAAAAAAAAAAGAAUUUUGUUUUAUGUUUUAACUAAGGUUCGAUUUCCAGGAGGAACAACGCUUUGCCAGUGCGCAUGUCUCUACGCAUGAGCUGAAUUAGUCGUCCACCUUUGGUGGGUCGGAAACCGGUGCGAAAGCCAAAAAAAAAAAAAAAAAAAAACAUGUUAUGUUUUUAUUUGAAUGUUUAUUCUAUGUUGAGUGCAGGUUUUGGAUGUCAUUAUUAUUUUUUGGCAUGAUGUUUGUAAUUUGUAUUUCUAUUCUAAAAUUCCUGUUGCUUCAUUUUUGUUUUGUUUUUGUGUUUAACAUAAUUUAUCUUUCCUUUAAUAUAUGAACUAUUUUCUCUUUUUACAUUUGUGUUGUAAGAGUCAAUAUUCUUUUUUUACAUUUGUUUGUGCAAAUUAAUAUUUAUUACGGUAUGUAGUUGAAUGGUUGAAAGUUAACCGAACGAGAUCUGGUUCAAGGCAAAUGAACGAGAUCUGGAUCGUGCUGAAAUUGUUAUACUUCUCAUGUUGGUUUUAGGUUUCACUCCAAACCUCAAAAGUUAACCCUAUAUUUUUUCAAUUAAAAUACAUAUCUGUUCUUGAAUUUUAAUUUGAUUGUUACAACAAUCUUUGUCUUCAUGUGGUGAAAAUUAUCUUGAACAAGAAAUGACUUCAGUGACUCCAGCUAUAAGAGGAAACAAUGGAGAUAAAGUUGAAGUUGUGGAACCAUUUUUGUGGAGACAAAAUGUCUUCAUGUGGUGUUAAGUUUUGGGUUCAAUCUUCACUUGCUUAACUGGCUUAUAUCUUGAAAGUGUGUUGCCAUACUCUUUGCCGUUAUCACAUUGAAAAUAUUUUAUAUCCUUAAUAAUUGUAGUUAGUGGAGUAAUUAAGUGGAUUAUAAUUAAAUUAAUAAGGGUAUAUUAGUGAAAAAUAAUAAUAAAUGUUGCAUCGAUAUUCUGAAAAGACAAUUAUUUUAAGGGUCAUGUUAACUUGUGCCCUUAAGAAAGACAAUUAAAUAAUUUUGUUCCUUAAAUAUUUUGCCAAGGAAGUUCGAAGAACAAAAUGUUUAACAUAGUAAAUAUUCUGAAAAGACAAUUAUUUUAAGGGUCAUAGUUCAAGGAAGUUGAACUUAUUGAAAAAUAAUUAAUAUUAAAUAUUUUGAACAAUAUCAACACAAUUUUCAAAAAAAAAUUAUAUUAGUGGAAUUCUUAACAUUUCCCUUAUUUUAAUACAUAGAAAAAAAUGCUAAAGAUACAAUUAAAAUAAGACGCAGGGAGUAACUAUUAUAAUUACUAUCAUCCACAAUUACAUUUCAGACAAAAUAUUGGGAAAGAAGAAUUUAUAUCAGUGGCUUUGUGAACCGUUUUAUAAGUAUUCCAUAUGUUGAGAUUUUAACUCAGUCCCUUUGAUUACAUUAUCAAUCUCUUAUCACAUAUUUGGAGGACGACGACAACGACAAAGGCGAUCAAUACACACUGAAACAGUAGGAUAUACACACAUACGCAUCCUACAAUCAAAAUCUACCCUACACCUUUUAUGUGCUGUAAUUAAAAUAAAAUAUGUUAGAAUAAAAUAUUUUGUAUAUAAGAUAAACAAGAAAGUUUAAAAGGAUAUGGAAAUGGCUUACCACUGACAUCAGUUACCACAAGAAAAAUGGAAAUAAAGAGAAUCAAUAAAUUAACAUACUUAAUAAUUUUGACCAUUUUUUUCUUCUUCUCUUAAGCUUGCAAUAGAACCAAAUUUAUUGAUCACUUUAUAUUGUAGAAGUUCUAUGUUUUGUUUCUUUGUUUCAAUGAUUUUUAUUGUUUUUAUUUUGCACUUAUUGGUUUUCAAGAAAACGUCUUAGAAUUAAAAUUUAUUAUUAAACAUAUCAUAGGUAAUCAAUUAGUCAAAAUUACACUUAGCUCAAUCGAAAAAGGGUAACCUUCCAUUAUUUUAUUUUAUUUUAUUUUCUUUUUAAUUUCUAUCCUUUUUACGAUAGAUAGGGGCAAACUAUGAAAUAAAACAAAAAUCGAAAUACAAAUUAAAAAACUCAAUAAAAAAAACUCUUGAAUUGUGUCUUUUUUUUAACUAGCAAAAUAUGUUGGUAGAAAAUUGGAUUUCGAAGCUUCUUAUCAAGUGUAAGAAAACACUUUUAUUUAUAAUUAAUUCUUAGAAGUUUUUAUCGUUUGAGCAUUUGAGAGUCUCUUGCUUGUAUGCUUGAACAUUUAUAAUCAGUUGUGAUUAUAGUGAAAAUUCCUUGAAAAUUCAAGGGCAUUAGACUACUUGUGGAUUGUAAAAAGAACCAGCAAAAUUAUUUUGCUCGUGUGUACCAUAUUAAGGCAGACAAUUUUGUAUUAGCGUUUAAAACUUUUUUUUAUCCCCAAAAAAACAUAUUUUACAUAUAUCAUAAACAUUUCCUAAAUAUAGAAAGCAUUUGAGCGGUGAGAAACAUUUUGCUAGGAACAAGUGGAUUGAAAUAACCAUGACCUCUACUUAUGAUAAGAUAAAUUUUGUAAGAAAGAAAAAAGAAAGAAUAUAAGAGAAUAAUUUAUUCUUUAAUGCAUGAUUUGUUAGACAUGACAACAAAACUCAUACAUGCGGGUAUCCGUCCGAACCAAACAUAAAUUGACAAGUUUUCCCCGUUUGACUGAGUUUGGAUAUGAGUUUGAGUUUUCCUCGAUUUUAAAACAUGGGUAUGGGACGGAUAACAGGGAUAUAAGUACCCACCCCGAACCCAUACAAAAACCCGUUCCGAAUGUAUAAAUCAAUUUAUUAUCCAUUUUAUAUAAAUAGAAACUCAAACCCUAAAUCGUUCCUCUCACACAAUCAUAGUCUCAAUUUCUCAGAUGACACUCACUUCUCAAAGUUUUUAUCUCUUCUCGUUCCAUACUCUUACUCUCGGUCUUUCUCUUCCCUGUCACCAUAGCCAUCAAUUGUCAUAAUCUCUUUGUAGGAUAAUGAAUAAACAAUAUUUCUUUUUUUAUUAAAAAAUAUUGUCCACUACAGAGAGGGGGAUGGGGCGAGGAUACCUGAACCAGUCGGGGAUGGGAUGAGAUUCGAUUUCUCAUCCCUGUUAAAUAUGGGUAGGGUAGCUAGUAAGUAUAUGAGAGUAGGGUAUAGGGAUGGAGAAGGUAAAACUUGUCCCCACCCUGCCCAUUGUAAUGCCUAGGCUUUAUGUAGUAAUGUUUUAAGUAAUUUUAGGCUAUUUUGAUGCUGAAAAGGAUAGGAAAAUCAAUUACCAAGGAAUUUAGCAUCGUGCCUCAAUUCUAAAGCAUAAAUCAACAUUUCAAUUCACAUAAUUUUGUGGCGGGAGAGAAGUGCAUCAUGAAACGAUUUGAAGGAGUGUCAAAAUAAAAUUUGAAUUCUGAAACUAAUCGUGACACAAUAUUGCUACAUUGUGGCACAAUGUUACAUUGAUGUUUCCUAACAUAAAAGACAAGUGAAGUAUCACGCCACGAUCUAUGAGUAUCAUGACACAAUUUAUAAAUGUAACUUUAGAUUGGUACGGUUCGGUUUUGAAAUUAAACUAAACAAGGUCUAAUACGUUUUCCAUUUGGUUCAGUUGAAUUUUUUGUUUCGUCAAUUUUGCUUAAACCAUUUACACCCCUAAUAGGAGGAGUUAUCAUAACAUGAAUGUCAAUUUUUUUAAAGAGAAGCAAAAAUUAUUAUCAUAUAAAAAAUGCUAACAUUGUAGCCAUAAGUGCCAUAACAAUGUUUUAUUUCUCAAAAUUGUGUUUACCACCAUACUUUUUACCUAUACUCUUGAUAGUGUGAUAAGUCGUAAUUUAGAUGGUUUUUAAGUGUUUAUUUUAAUAGAAUUCUGUUUGUUUAAAAAAAAAAUUAGAACUAUUUUACUGCAAAUUUGUUCGUUUUAUUUUCAGAAUCACAAAUGAUAGAUGAUCAAGUCUUUGAGCAAAAGAAUGGAUUAAGAUGCAUGAUUGAAGCUUGUUUGAGAAGAAAGCUAAAAAGAGGAAAUUUUGCGCGAUCCCAACCUCCAAAAUGUUGCUGAUUUGGUGCACAAUUAUGUGCUGAUUUGGUCCAUAUUUUUGUGCUGAUUUGGUGCAUAUUUAUGUGCUGAUUUAGUGCAAAUUUAUGUUUGGAUUUGGGCCGUUUUUAUGACCAUUUUAGUGCCUUAUAAUGUGGAACUAUUUCCUUUUCUAGAGGAUGGCUUUUGCUAUUUAUAUAGAGAGAGCAAUCAGACUUCUAAAUCAUCUUUAAAUCUUGGAAUAUUUGUGACAGUUGUUUUUCAUUGAAUCAAAUUGAUCAAAGCUUUAUUUUCUUGUUCUUUAA
rnacentral:lncRNA from 1 species